CUGCAAAUAGGAACAAUUUUACUUCUUUCUGAUUUGUAUGGCUUUUCUUUUCUUUUCUUGUUUAAUUACGUUGGCUAGGACUUUCAGUGUUAUGCUGCAUAAAAGUAGUGAGAGUGGGCAUCCUUGCCUUGUUCUUGAUAUUAGAGAAAAAGCUUUUAGCUUUUCACCAUUGAGUAUGAUGUUAGCUGUGAUUUUGUCAUAUAUGACUUUAUUAUGUUGAGGUACAUUCCUCUAUACCCAGUUUUUUUUUAGAGUUUAUCAUGAAAGAAUGUUGAAUUUUGUCAAAUAAUUUCUCUGCAUCUAUUGAGAUGGUCUCAUGAUUUUUAUCCUUCCUUUUGUUAAUGUGUAUAUCUCAUUGAUUGAUUUGCAGAUAUUGAACUAUCCUUGAAUUCCUGGACUAAAUUUCACUUGAUCAUUAUUCAUGAUCCUUUGAAUGUACUGUUGAAUACAAUUUGCUAAAUUUUGAUGUUUUUUACAUCAAGUUUAUCAGAGAUAUUAUCCUAUAAUUUUCUUUUCUUAUAAUUCCUUGUCUGACUUUGGUGUUAGGGUAAUGGUGCUCUCAUAAAAUGAAUGUGUUAAAAUGGAAGUGUUCCCUCCACUUUUGCUUUUUGGAAGUGUUUGAGAAGGAUUGGUAUUACUUCUUAAAUGUUUGAUAGAAUUCAUCAGUGAAGCCAUCUAGUCCUGAACUUUUCUUAUUGGGAGAUUUUUGAUUACCAGUUCAAUCUCCUUAUUAGUAAUUCAUGUGUUCAAAUUUUUCUAUUUCUUUAUGAUUCAGUCUUGGAGAGUUGUAUGUGUCUAGCAAUUUAUCCAUUUCUUUUAGGUUGUCAAAUUUGUUGGUGUAUAUUUGCUCAUAGUAGUCUCUUAUGAUCCUUUGUAUUUGAGUGAUAUCAGUUGUAAUGUCUCCUCUGUCAUUUAUAGUGUUAUUUAUUCAUAUCUUCUAUCUCUCUCUCUCUCUCCCCCUCUCUUGUUUUCUUUUAGUUAGUCUAGCUAAAGUUUUGUCUCUCUUGUUUGUCUUUUCAAAAAAACCAAUUCUUAGUUAUAAUGAUCUUGUCUAUUUUCUUCUUAGUUUUGUUCCAUUUAUUUCUGAUUUAAUCUUUGUUAUUCCUUUCUUCUACUAACUUUGGACCUAGUUUGUUCUUCUUCUAGGUCCUUAAAGUAUAAAGUUAGGUCAUUUAACUGAGAUUUUGUUUCUCUUACUGUAGGUUUCUUAAUGUACCAACUUCCCUCUUACAAUUUCUUUCAUUGCAUCACAUAAGUUUUGAUAUGUUGUGUUUCUAUUCUCAUUGCCUCAAGAUAUAGUUUGAUUUUUCUUUUGUUUUUUUCUUUGACCCAUUGUUUGUUCAAGAGCAAAUUGUUUAAUCUUCACAUAUUUAUGAGUUUUCCAGUUUUCUUCUUAUAACUAAUUUCUAAUUUCAUACCAUCUUUUCACAGAUGCCUUUGUUUGGUUCUUUAUAAGAACCCCCAAAUCUUGAGAUUCCCCACUUAAUAUUUCUUUCAUGAUAUUAAUAUAAAAUAAAUGCAUUAAAUAAUUAGAUUAUUGGCAGAGACAUUAGAUUAUCAUUCACUAAUUUUACUAACUCGGUAAAUAUUUAUUAAAGCUGGCAUAAGCCAGAAAUUGGGCAAGUUGUUGAGAAUUCAAAGAUGAAGACAGAGCUCUUGGCCUAGUGUAGUUCUCAUUUUAGUGAUGAUUAUAUUAAGGCAAUUUCUAUCAGAAUGUCUGGUUUCCCUCUCUUCAGUAUUCUGGCUGUUAUACUGAUGAUUGUUUUCUUUUACAGAGAAGCUACACUGGAUCCCUGUUAUAACAUUAUUUAUUGACCAUGAAUAAUGAAUUGAGUAUUGAUUAAUUAGUCAAUUAAUUUCUCUACAAUUAAUUUUGUAAAGCAAGGUUUACUAUUAGCAAAAUUGAAGCCCACUAAAUGGAGAUUGGUUACUAGAAUGUCAAAAGGACUUAUCAUUUUUCCUCAUAAUAAGUGAUACAAUUCCAUGUGUAAUGGAAACUAUUAUGAUGACUAUUACAUAACUUUUUAUUGUUUUUAAUGCUACUUAAAAACAUAGUGCAACAAAGUGUAAUUGUGUUGGCACCUCUACUUUCUGGUUACUCCUUGUAGUUUCCUGAUUGUCUCCAACUAUGCUUUUGACUCCUUUAAACUGUGGAUGAUCUGCUUAGAUUCUCUCUUUCCACUCUGUCCUUCUUGAUUACAUAUCUACUGUAAUCUAAUAUGUCCAUUCCCUACCUUGCCAGCUCAGUUACUUCUUAUUUUACUUUUUAUAGCAAUUAUCUUUAUCUGAAAUUAUCUUGUUUGUACAUUUAACUUAUUUUCUGUCUUCCACACUAAAAUAUAAGCUCCAUUAGAGGGUCCUUGUCUGUCUUGUUCAUUACUAUAUCUCCAGCACAUAAUAGAUGCUCAAAAACUAUUGGUUGAGUGAGUGAAUUGAGGAACGAAUGAGUCAGAAAAGAAUUUUCUCUGAAGGAUACAGAUAGAAAAUACAGAUCAUGGCUUCAGGAUACUCACUAUCCAGUUGAGGACACAAGAUGUCUACAUAUGAAAGUGUGACUAGGGUGUGAUUUUCAUAACUGACAGGGGACUGCUGUGGACGAUCAGGGGAGAGAGCCAUCACUGGACAUGGGCCUAAUCAGAAACAGCUUCACAGAGUACAUAUAACUUGCUUCUCAUGGAGACUUCUCCCACAAAGCUUCCUGAAAUCUGGGAUCUAUAAAUGAGGGGUUAUUUCUGCUUGAGAGACCAAGUAGGACUGUACAGAGGAAAUGUUCUCUAUGACCCUACCCUACCAACCUCUAUAAGUGCAGUCCAAUUCCUCACAUCUAACUCUUGCCUGAGGGCUUUUGAGUUUGCUGCCUCAUUGACCUGGAGUGUUCUUCCCAUAGAUAAAAGAGUUGACCCUUUAUCUUCUAAAUCUCACCCUAGAUUACACUCUCUGAGAAUACAGGUUAUAUGAAAAUUUCUUGUCUGUGUUUUAAAAAUCUUUAUAACUAGAAUGGAAGCUCCAUGGAACACUGAUCAUCUGUGUCUUGUGCUUUGCAUUAUACCUGAUACCUAACACAGUGCUGGGAACUGUGUUUUUAAUAAAUGAAUGAAUAAAUGAUUUCAAAGAAUGGACUUUGGAAAAAGUGGUGCAGGCAGGAGGAGAUUAAUGUUACAAAGAUGAGGACAUACCAGGAGAUUAGAGGGCAGAAGUCGAAGCUUAUAGAUAAGAAACAACUUGAGUAGACUGUAAUAUAAGGAACAAGAAGUUUAAAAUUAAUUUAAUAAUUUGUUUGCAAUUCCAUUUGGAAUACAUAUGACUUUGACUCUUAAUUUUUAACAUUGCUUUUCUCACAUUUUGUAAAAAUUUUAUAACAUGUAACAAAAAUUGGUUGCUUUAAUUAAUACAUACAAAAUUAACAUUGGCAUAUAAGUUAAAUAAUAUAGUUUAAGUAAUGGUAUAAUAUAUUUAAAUUUUCAUUGCUUAUUUCAUGAACUUUGCAAGAAAAUAUGUUGAUGUAUAAUUCAAACUAUUAAUGGCAGUAUCAAGAGACAAACCUUAUCUUCCAUUUGAUGUUCUAUAGCUCCCACUGUUCAGUAGUCUACUGAGAUAGAUUACAUAUAUAUUUCUAUACUUAAAUAAGGAUAUAUCUUACACCUAUAUAAGAAUAUAUUUUAGUUUGGCAGAAAUUUUUCCUUAAAGCUGUACCAUAAAUAUCUUGUAAUUGUAUCUGAUUAUCCUCUAACAUAUUCUUUAUUACUGAUCUGUUACUGAUCUUUAUUCACCAGCACACAAAAAGAUAUUUGUACAUUUGCCAAAUUUGAUAUCAUAAAGCCUGACUAUAAUAUUGCUCUGUGAUUACACCACACAUCACACUGGGUUAUAGGAAAUCUUUCUGAUAAUUUUUAUGUCAACUCUCCAAGGAUGGGAUGAAAUCCAAAGCACACCUGCUAUGAUGCAAAUACGCAUAAGUGGUCACUCAUUGCUAGUGAUAAGCCACCAUAAAGAAGUAAUAUUUCUUUUAAAUUAAAAAGCCACCCAAAUUAAUGUAACUUUUAGUACUAAAACUUAUCAUCAAAAGAAGGCAUACAGAUAACAUAUAGAACAUAAAAAAGUCUAGCCAAAUUAACAAUCCAAAAAUGUAAAGUAAAAUGAAACAAAGAUACUAUCUUCCAUAAAAUAAAUUAAUAUGUAGAAAAUUAAUAAAAGUUAAAACCCAGUGUUAGAAAUGGCUUGAGGUAAUGUCCAUUUUACCCUUUCAGAGGGAAUGUGACAAAUUUUAGGAAGUCAGUUUGACAAGAUUAUCAAAUGUUUAAAAUAUGUACAUAAUUUCAUUAAGAACUUGUACUUGGUGAUUUAUCACUGAGGAAAAAAUCUUGACAUCACAAAAAGCAUGAAUAUUUUAUAUAGUCAUGCAUACAAUAGUGAAAAAGUAUAAACAGCCUACAAGUCCAUAGUCCACACAAUGAAAUGCCUCAAUGCCAUUAAAAAUAUCUUGAAGUAUGUUUAAUAAUAUAUAAAACUGACCAUUUAUUGAGUGUACAAAAUAUAUAUAUAUGCAUAGAAAGUUUUUUCUGUUUAUCCUGAAUUUCUAAAUUAUGUAUUAUAUGCAUGGAUUAUUUUAUAAUCAGAAAAAGUAGACUACCAUUAUUUAAAUUUAGAGCAUCAUUCAUGUACCUCAAAUAGUCCAAAAAAUACAGUGUAUCUAAAUUUAGAUCAAAAUUUCAUAAAGUAAAUUUCAGAAAACUUUUGUUAAUGCACAUUAUUGGGAUUCUCACUGCAUUUGUUCAUUUGAAUUAUAUUAAUCAUUCCUGGAUUUAUGCAGGGCUUGGUUGUGUGACUCAUGGAUUUUAUAUAAACAAUUUAUGGUAAAAACUUCAUAUUUUGACCCAAGGGAAAAAGUUAUUUUCUGGUAUCAAAAUUGUUCUUUGUUUGCAAAUUUUAAAACUAUAAAAUGUAGUUUUUGUAGUGCAUAAAAAUUUCACCAUUUAUUUCAAAUAGAAAAUAAAACAUUUAAUAUACAUGCACUUAAUAUCAAUUUUCAACUCUUAAAAGUGGGAAAAAAUUAUGACCCAGGAAAAAAUUGGGACAGUAUUAGCUUAAAAAUAAAAUUGCUCAUUCAUAUUAAAUAGGCUAAUUAAUUCAUAUUAAUUAGGCUGCUUUUAAACAAACCUAUAUUUGACUUGAUUAAAAUAUAUCUUAUAUGAUAUUGUCAGGGGACAAAAUUUUCCACCCCAGGGAGAUCUUCAAGAUGGCAGAGGAGUAAGACGUGGAGAUCACCUUCCUCCCCACAAAUACAUCAAAAAUACAUCUACAUGUGGAACAACUCCUACAGAACACCUACUGAACGCUGGCAGAAGACCUCAGACUUCCCAAAAGGCAAGAAACUCCCCACAUACCUGGGUAGGGCAGAAGAAAAAAGACAACAGAGACAAAAGAAUAGGGAUGGGACCUGCACCUCUGGGAAGGAUCUGUGAAGGAAGAAAAGUUUACACACACUAGGGAGCCCCUUCACUGGCAGGGACAGGGGGUGGGCUGAGGGGAAGCCUUGGAGCCAUGGAGGAGAGUGCAGCAACAGGGGUGCAGAGGACAAAGCAGAGAGAUUCCUGCACAGAGGAGCAGUGCCAACCAUUGCUCACCAACCUGAGAAGCUUGUCUGCUCACGCGCUGGGGCAGGUGGGGACUGGGAGCUGAGGCUCAGGCUUCAGAGGUCAGAUCCCAGGAAGAGGACUGAGGUUGGCUGAGUGAAGACAGCCUGAAGGGGGCUAAUGCACCACAGCUAGCCAGGAGGGAGUCUGGGAAAAAGUCUGGACCUGCCGAAGAGGCAAGAGACUGUUAUUUCAGGGUGUGCGAGGAGCAGGGAUUCCUUCCCUGUGUAUCCACAGAAGGCAGAGCACCAUCUAAGUGAGCUCCAGAGAUGGGCGUGAGGCAGGGCUAUCAGCUCAGAUCCCAGAGAUGGACAUGAAAGGCUAACGCUGCUGCUGCCACCACCACUGCAACCAAGAAUCCUGUGAGCGAGCACAGGUCACUACCCACACCCCCCUGGGAGCCUGUGCAGCAUGUCACUGCCAGGGUCCCAAGAUCCAGGGACAACUUCCCCAGGAAAACACACGGCACGCCUCAGGCUCUUACAAUGUCGUGUUGGUCUCUGCUGCUGCAGGCUCACCCCACAUUCCAAUUAUGACUACCGUACCCCUCCCUCUCUCCAGCCUGAGUGAGCAAGAGAGCCCUAAUCAGCUGCUGCUUUAACCCUCUCCUGUCUGGGCGAGGAACAGGUGCCUGAGGGCAACCUACAUGCAGAGGUGAGGCCAAAACCAAAGCUAAAUCCAGGAACUGGGUGAACAAAGAAGAGAAAUGGAAAUUCCUCCAUGCAGCCUCAGGAGAAGCAAUUAAAUACCCACAGUCAAACUGACGGACCUGUAUCUAUGGAAUACCUGAAUAGACAAUGAAUGUUCCCAAAAUUGAGGCAGUGGAUUUUGGGAACAACUGUAGACUUGGGGUUUGCAUUCUGUGACUGAUUUGUUUCUGAUUUUUACAUAUAACUUAGCUUAGUUUUUAGUCCUUGUUAUCACUGGUGGAUUUGUUUAUUGGCUUUGUUGCUCUCUUUUUUAAUUUUCUUAAUUUUUAUUCUAUUAUUAUGGUUUUUUUCUUCUGACCCAUGUGGCUGGCAGGGUCUUGGUGCUUUGGCCAGGUGUCAGGCCUGAGCCUAUGAGGUUGGAGAGCUUAGUUCAGGACAUUGGACCACCAGAGACCUCCCAGACCCAUGUAAUAUCAUUUGGCAAGAGCUCUUGCAGAGGUCUCUGUCUCAACACUAAGACCCAGAACCACCCAAUGGCCAGCAAGCUCCAGUGCUGGACGCCCCAUGUCAAACAACUAGCAAGACCGGAACACAACCCCACCCAUUAGAAGAGAGUCUGCCUAAAGUCAUACUAAGUUCACAGACACCCCAAAACACACCACCGGAUAUGGCCCUUCCCACCAGAAAGACAAGAUCCAGCCCCACCAUCAGAACACAGGCACAAGUUCCCUCCACCAGGAAGCAUACACAAACCACUCAACCAACCUCACCCACUGGGGACAGACACCAAAAACAACAGGAAAUACGAACCUGCAGCCUGCAGAAAGGAGACCCCAAACACAGUAAGUUAAACAAAAUGAGAAGACAGAGAAAUAUGCAGCAGAUGAAGGACUAAGGUAAAAACCCACAAGACCAAACAAAUGAAGAGUAAAUAGGCAGUCUACCUGAAAAAGAAUCCAGAAUAAUGAUAGUAAAGAUGAUCCAAAAUCUUGGAAAUAGAAUGGAGAAAAUAAAAGAAAUGUUUAACAAGGACUUAGAAGAGCUAAAGAGCAAACAAACAAUGAUGAACAACACAAUAAAUGAGAUUAAAAAUUCUCUAGAAGGGGGCUUCCCUGGUGGCGCAGUGGUUGAGAGUCCACCUGCCAAUGCAGGAGACACGGGUUCGUGCCCCAGUCCGGGAAGAUCCCACAUGCCGCAGAGCGGCUGGGCCUGUGAGUCAUGGCUGCUGAGCCUGUGUGUCCGGAGCCUGUGCUCCGCAACGGGAGAGACCACAACAGUGAGAGGCCCAUGUACUGCAAAAAAAAUUAAAAAAAACAGAAAAACAGACUAUAGUGGUAGCUCUAACUUCUUUUCAGUUCAAACCUCUGAACUUCCAAUUCCCCUUUUUGCUCCACCCUCUGGCACCUCAGUAUUGUAAAGGAAAAAAAUGCUGCCUGCCAUAUCUGUAAACAAAGGAUAUUGCAGCCAUCAAGACACAAUAUUACAGGCUCACCCCACUGGUGCACUCUGAGGAGACUCAGGAUGAGAAAGCACAGGAUACUGGCCCCAGGUAGCUGAAGUGCAUAUCAAAGGAAUAAUUUCAGUGAGCCCAGACUCUUACAUCUUCUCAUACAUAGGAAGGUGCUAAAUUCCUUAACUUGAGAUGUCUGGCUUUCUUUAAUUAACAGUAAUCUUUUGAUGUUCCAACUACCUGGUCUUUGUUGCAAAAACUCCUAUGUAUCCUGGCUCCUCGCUUACCUCUUCAGAGUGGUCCCUUAGAGUGGUCUGAGAGUCCUGUCUCCUGGGCUUGAAGUCUGCAGAAAGUCUGUCGAAUAAAAUAUAACUCAACUUUUAGGUUGUGUAUUUUUUUUCAGACAACAGUUUUGACAUAGAUACCAACUCCACGUAAUGACAGAGUUAUUGUUAAUAAUCCUUGAGAGCAGGCAUUUGCAUUCUUGUUUCUUGGUGCUCUUUGAAUGGUAUUUUACUGUGAAGUUGCUUAAGCCAUUUCACUACUAAUCCUGAGUCAACUUGGUGGUGUGUUCUGAGUCCUGAUGUUACAGGUUACAGGUCCAGUGGACCUACUCUGGGAUCCUUAGCCCGUGUGGCGACCCUUUGUCUUGGCCACUGCGUUCUUUUUCUGCUCAGAUUUGCACAACCAAUAAUGAAACUGGUGCUGAGUCUGGAACAGCACAAGUUUUAUUCAACGACCAAAGAAUGGAGAAGUGAGAAUUUAGUUUGCAAAUCAACUCUCAACUCAAUUCGGGCAGAAACACCAUAUAUAUUGGAGGGUUGAGGUAAAAGGGAGGAAAUUGAAAAGAGAGGGAGGAAUAUUGAUGACUUAUCCAAGAAGAGGGGUAUGGUUUGGACCCAGAACUGAUGCAACGCUCUUUCUCUGUCCUUAUAUGGACAUUUCCAGCUGUCGUCAUGGCAACUGCACUGGUGGGUAUGUCAUUUAACAUGCUAACGCAUUAUAUUGAGUGUAUAAUGAGGCUCAAGGUCUACUGGAAUUAAAAUCUUCCACCAUCUUGGUCCUAGUUCUAACCAGUUCUUGUUUUUCUCUUUGCAGCUUCCUCCUGAAACUUAGAUAAGAGAAAUUGCUUUCCAUUCAAGGGAGGGAUAGGGGAAUGAUUCUGGGGCAACAGCCUUGGUAACACUGAGUCAUGUUGUUGUGGACACAUUACUAUAUGCUUUUCUCAAUAAUAAAAGUGUACACCCAAAGAGUAAAUUUUGUUGUAUGAAAAAGGAGUUAAAUUUGCCAACUUAUUGACUUGUAUUUCUUUUGUUCAAGAGGUAGAUUGCGUUUGAGAACAAAGAUUUACCUGUGUUGGCUCAGGCAUUCCUCAGCCAUGUGAGGAUUACAUACUCAGAUUCAUCAGUUCAGUCUGAUAAAUUGUACUUAUAUACUGUAAUGAUACAUUUAGCUGAUGAAAUCUUUUUCUCACACUUGUUGUGUUAAGCUUUUACACCGAAUGGGAAUUUUUUUUUUUUUUGCAGUACGCGGGCCUAUCACUGUUGUGGUCUCUCCCGUUGUGGAGCAAGGCUCCGGAUGCACAGCCUCAGUGGCCAUGGCUCACAGGCCCAGCCGCUCCACGGCAUGUGGGAUCUUCCCAGACCGGGGCACGAACCCGUGUCCCCUGCAUCGGCAGGCGGACUCUCAACCACUGCACCACCAGGGAAGCCCCUGAAUGGGAUUUUUUAAAACCUCAAAUAUUGCUUAAAUACCACUAUCCAAAAUUACCAUUAGUUAAUUUAUGGCAAAAUUAUACAUCUUUAGACAAAAAUAAUCUUCCGUUUUGCUUUAUUUUUUAUCUCUAGGUGUAGUUUUUCCUAAUUUUAGUCUUCUUUUUCUUAUUUUAAUAUUUCAAAUUCUGUAGUGUUACUGGAACCAUUUUUCAGAGUUAAAAGCUUCUUUGAUAUUUACAGUAAUUAUGUUAAAUUUAGGUUUAUUAACUAUUAAUAUACUGAGAAAAAUGGCUUUUCCUCUAUUGAUAAUAAAAAUGAGAGCCUAUUAACACUGGUAUUUUUAUUACCUCAGUUUAUUACUUCUCUUGGAUAACUGGAUCAAUAUUCUACAAAAAAAAUACUUUUGUGGGGGUAGUAAUAAUCCAUUUGUCUUCCUAAUAAGUGUCUUGAAGCUCUUCACGCUGCACACCAAACUAGUUAACAUAUAUAAAACAAUUCUUUCUGAUGCGAAUUUUGGACAAAAAUACCUAUAAUUAUGUAAGAUCUUAAAUAUCAUUUUGAUAAUAAAACAAAGCUCACCUUGUCACAAGCUAGAUUACAUUUUUCCUGGCACAUUACAGUAUGAAAUAUAUACUAUACUGUGCAAACUAAAAAAUAUCACUUGCAUCCAGUUCUACAAGAAUGAAGUCACUAGCCAGUGUACUUGCUGACCUUUAACACACCCUGAAAGUAGUUCGGGGUUGAGAUCAGGAAUUAGGCACUCUUUGCUUUGGAAAAAAACUGACAGAACAGGUCUUCAGAUAAUUAGAUAUUUUCAGGGGAAAAUGUUAUAAGCCCAAUUUCUUGCAUCUUCUCAUACCUAGAAAAAGCACUAAAAUCAUUAAUGGAGACAUUUGCUCCUAGUGACUAGCAGCAACCUCCUACUGAGUUGUAUGAUUGAUUGCAUGCACCCCCUUCACCAAAACCAUAUAUAUACUGACCUUCCCCCACCUCUUCAGAGCAGUUCUUAAGAGCUAUCUAAGAGGCUAUCAUUCUUUUUUCAGUCAACAGCUGUAAUAUAUAUGAUAGCCAUAAAAACCCAAGGACACUUUAGGGAAAUUAAAUAAAACUUGGCAUGUCGAAUAAUUAAAAAGAGUAAUAUCCAUGAAAAACAUUAUUUAAAUAUUUCUUAUGAUUUUAAAAAUUAUUUUAAUAAUAGAUUGACAUGUAUCUUCAGUUUUGGGGGAAAAAGGACAUAUGUUUAUUUUGUCCUUCAGCAUUCACAGGCAAAUUCUAUAUAUAUUAUGUAUCAUAAACCCAAAAGUUGGUAAAUGAUCCAAUCAUUAUCUUCAUGAAGCUUCAUAAUUAGAAACCUGAGUGGCAGAGGAGAGUUGGAGAUGCUGACAGGAAAGAUGUAGUUAUAGAGGAAAUCACCCAAUCCAAGGGCAUGCAGACCUGGCUGACAUGGCUGUUUGGGCUUCAGUAAAUUUCAGUUUUGAUGGGGUCUUUGAGGAGUCAUGAUAUGUAGAAGAUUGAAACUGGUCUACAUUCAGCAGCAACAUAUGUAGAAUAUACAUUUAUUGAAGAAAGUAAUAGAAAUAUAUUAAAACAUAUAGAUUUAUAAUUUAAAGUAAAAAUUAUUAGGCAGUAAGCCUACAGGCAUUUUUGUAACUUUUUUCUCAUUUACUUUAAUAUAGAUAAAAAUAGAAGAAAUUACAGAAUUAUAGAAUUAUUUGUCACAACACUAUUACAUAUAUUAGUAACAUUUUAUCAUAUUAAAUUUUAAAGAGAAAAAAGGAUUGUUACUCCAUAUGUUUAGAAUCCUCAAUUUGCAAUUUUUAAGGGACUACCUUCUUUGGUACUACUUCUUCAGUACUUUGAAUUUGUGGUGCUGGGGCUUAGGACAGGUCACUCCAAAACAUGCCAAAGUGGCAUCUUGAUUAUUUUGAAGUAAAGUUAUUUAAGAAAUGGCCAAGGCAAGAGAGCCCCUUGACCCUCCUCUUUGUCUCCCUGAAAGCAGGAAAUAAAUCUUCCAUGAAGGACAUCCUUAUCACCAGAGAUAGAGAAUUUAGGGCUGAGAAGAAUGUACAAAUCAACCUUAUCGCUUCUCUACUAAUUUACUACCCUAAGCACAACUCUGUUUAGAUUCUUCACUAAUUAAGCACCCACAGCCUAAAUUUCUUUGUUCUGUCAAUUCUUCACAAAUGUAUUGUUUCUUUGUCUAAAAAGUAUAAAAUCUGCCUGCUCUGGUCACUUCUUAGCCCCAUCUUUAUGAGAACUUUGUGCAAACAAAUUAAAUUGUGUUUUUCUCCUGUUAAUCUGUUUUGUGUCAAUUUAAUUAUUAGACCAGCCAAAAUAACUAAAGAAGGUUAAGGGUGAAAUGUUUCCUGCCUCGACAGUAGCACAAUAGAACUAGUAUUUUGAAACCAAUUUGCUCUUUACUUCAUAUUUCAUAAACAGUUAGUAUUUGCAAUUAAGACUAUUCAAAAGCUGUAAGGAUAUUCAUAUUUUACCCAUAAAAGCCUUGGAUUUACUGAUUUGGAAGUUUUUUACUUCAUUUAAAUUUGAUUAUUUUUUCUAUUUUACUUAACAAAUUUUUUCCCACCGCAUUUCUUACGUUUUUGUUUUUAAACAUUUUUUUGGAGUAUAAUUGUUUUACAAUGGUGUGUUGGUUUCUGCUUUAUAACAAAGUGAAUGCUAUACAUAUACAUAUAUCCCCAUAUCUCUUCCCUCUUGUGUCUCCCUCCCUCCCACCCUCCCUAUCCCACCCCUCUUGGUGGUCACAAAGCACCGAGCUGAUCUCCCUGUGCUAUGCGGCUGCUUCCCACUAGCUAUCUAUUUUACAUUUGGUAGUGUAUAUAUGUCCAAGCCACUCUCUCACUUUGUCCCAGCUUACACUUCCCCCUCCCCAUGUCCUCAAGUCCAUUCUCUAGUAGGUCUGAGUCUUUAUUCCCGUCUUGCCCUUAGGUUCUUCAUGACCAUUUUUUUUUUUUUUUUUAGAUUCCAUAUAUAUGUGUUAGCAUACGGUAUUUGUUUUUCUCUUUCUGACUUACUUCACUCUGUAUGACAGACUCUCGGUCCAUCCACCUCGCUACAAAUAACUCAAUUUCAUUUCAUUUUAUGGCUAAUAUUCCAUUGUAUAUAUGUGCCACAUCUGCUUUAUCCAUUCAUCUGUCAAUGGACACUUAGGUUGCUUCCAUGUCCUGGCUAUUGUAAAUAGAGCUGCAGUGAACACUGUCCCACCACAUUAUUUGAAAGUGUUAAAAUCUGUCUUACUAGAUUUGUAUAGUUUAGAUAUAAGGUAUUUAGAGAACAUUUAUUCAUUUAUUUGUUUAUGAAUAUUUAUAAUAAUGAGUAUUUAUUAAACAUGUACAUAAUAGACUUUAUACAAGUUACUGGAAAUAUGCCCUUGUAUAUGUGUUGUUUAUACUCUACCUGGAAACACAGUAUCAACAUAUGUGGUGGCUGUCACAGUGAAAGAGAUACUAUUCUCAAAUUUAAUAGAAUUUGUUCUAUUUCAAUAUUAUAAAAUAACUAAAAUGUGGUGCUAGAACCAGGGCAACUUCAUACGUACUGUGAUUUUAAGUUCACAGUAAGACUUUGACUCUCUCACCCUCACCCAAACACUUUUCUUCUUUGUUUUAAGAUUACAACUGCUAUUUCUAUUCAAGCUGGUUGACUAACUCCCCACUCCCACCACUUCACAGAAUCCUAUUGAAAUAGCAGCAACUAAGAACAAAGGGGAACACAGUGUUACAAAUACUGCAGGGGUGGAGAGACAUGACUAGCAUACAGGAUAUUCACUUCACAAGCAGUUUUGGAAGAAAAGUCACAGAUGAGCUCAUUUUGCUUUAAAAACCACACUGUUCUGUCUUGUUCAGCCACCUCUGGUUUAAACACUACCUUGGAAACCACGACUGUCAGUGAAGCUUCCCUAUGUAUGAGGCAAGCUUGUGAUGGAGGGGAACAAAGCAGGGAAGGUAUCUCUCAGAACUGGAUUUGGUGUAAUGUUGAUGUUUAAAAAUCCCUCUUCCCCUUCUAAUCUGUUAUGAUUACUUAGAAUUUCAGUAGCAACACUGAGAGAAAUAUACACUUUCCAUAGUGAAGUUUAUCCAAAGAGAUGUGAUGUAACUCUGAAUUUUGAGGUGGGCCUGAAAAUUCCAACAUACCGGGGUAUGUACUUAUAUUAUUCCCUCCCCUAGAGUAUGGGUAGGACUGUGAAUAUAAUGGAUUUCAUGACUGUGAUUAUGUUUCAAAGGUGAAGGGAUUUUAAAAAUGUAAUUAAAAUCUGAAAUGAGAGGACUUUGAGUUAAUGAAAAGGGAGAUUAUCCUCACUGGGUCUGAUCUAACUAGGUGAGCUCUUAAAAGGAGUUGAGUCCUUCCUGAAGAGAGAGAUUUGAAGCAGCAGAGAUGAUUUUCUGUUGGCCUGUAAGAAACAAACUAUAGAAUUAUGGAGAAGACCCUGUGGCAAGGAAUAGCAGGCAGUCCUGUAACCUCAAGGAACUAAAUUCUACCAACUGCCAGGGAGCUAGGAAGAGGACUUGAGACUCAGAUAAGAUAAUAGCUCUGGCUGACACCUUGAUUUUAGCCCAGUCAGAUCCUGAAGUGAGGACCUAGUUAAUGUGUGUAGACUCCUGACUCAUGACAACUGAGAUCAUAAAUUUUGUUAUGUUUUUCUAAACUGUUAGAUUAUAGUAAUUUGCUAUGCAGGUAUAGAAAAUUAACACAAGAAGUACAAAACAUCAUACAGCAUUGCUAUUACAUGAAAGCUAAUAAAGUCAAGUUUCUUUCAUAUUUCCUUUAAAUGACAAAUUACUUAUCAAGAAUAUUUUCUGUACUUUGAAAUCUUUGUGACAGCCUGCAUAGGGUGUUGUUUUCUAGUUUUGUGCAUUGAAAUUAUGAUAUAAUAUGUAACAUGCUCUGAUAUUUUGAAAGGUUUUAUUCUAAGGAUAUCUAUCAACUGAAUUAUCAGUGAAGUUAUUCUUGCAAAUAGAUUGUUUGGAGUAACAAAAGGACUAUUUGGCUUGAGUUAUGAGAUGUGGAUAGUGGGUAAAUGUGUGAUUUGGAGAAUAUCUCUAUGCCUCUGUGUCUCCAUUAGUUAAGUGACUGUACUAAGGAAGACAUUUACAACCCCUUUAUUUAAACAGCUUUAUUGAAGUAUAAUUGACACACAACAAAUUAUACAUCUAUUAAGUGUAAGUUUGAUAACUUUUUACAUACACCCAUACCAAAUGUUGAAUAGAUCCAUCACACUAAAAGUUUCCUAAUGCUCUUUUGGAAUCCCUCUUUGCUACCCCACUUCAGGACCCCCAUCCUCUAAAUCCUCAGGCAAUGACUGAUUUGCUUUUGUCACUAUAGAUUAAUUAAUAAUUAUUUUUAUUGAGAUAGAAUUGUACAAUAUUAUAUGUUUCAGGUAUAUACUCCAUUUAUAAUUAUUAUAAAAUAUCGGCUAUAUUCCCUGUGUUGUACAAUAUAUUGUUCUAGCUCAUUUAUUUUAUCCAUAGUAGUUUGUACCUCUUAAUCCCCUACCCCUGUCUUGCCCAAAUCCCCUUCUCUCUCCCCACUGGUAACCACUAGUUUGUUCUCUAUAUCUGUGCAUUUGUUUCUUUUUUGUUACAUUUACUGGUUUGUUUUAUUUUUUAGAUUCCACAUAUAAGUGAUAUCAUACAGUAUUUGUCUUUCUCUGUCUGACUUAUUUCACUUAGCAUAAUGCCCUCCAAGUCCGUCCUUGCUGUUGCAAAGUUUUAUUUUUGUUUAUGGCUGAGUAGUAUUUCAUUGUGUGUGUGUGUGUGUGUGUGUGUGUAUCACAUCUUCUUUUUCCAUUCAUCUGUUAAUGGACAUAUCUUGGCAGUCAUAAUUAUGCUAUGAACAUUAGGGUGUAUGUAUCUUUUUCAAAUUAGUGUUUUUAUUUUUUUAGAAUAUACACCCAGGAAUGGAAUUGCUGGGGUAUAUGGUAGUUCUAUUUUUAGUUUUUGGGUCUUUUUUUGUGAUAAACCUCCAUACUGUUUUCCACAGUGGCUGCACCAAUUUAUACUCCCACCGACAGUGUAUGAGGGUUCCCAUUUCUCCACAUCCUCACCAACAUUUGUUGUUUGUGACCUUUAUUCUGUCAGGUGUGAGGUGACAUCUCAUUAUAGUUUUAAUUUGUGUUUCUCUGAUGAUUAGUAAUAUUAAGCAUCUCUUUAUUGAGAUGGCUGUUGGCCAUAGGUAUGUCUUCUUUGGAAAAAUGUCUUCUCAGGUCUUCUGCCCAUUUUUACCAUAACCAGGUUUUUUUUUGAUGUUGAGUUGUAUGAGCUGUUUAGAUAUUUGGGAUUAUUUUUUAUUUUAUAGACUUUUAUAUAAAUAGAAUUAGGUAGGAUUUACUUUUUUGUCAGCUUUUCUUCAUUCAAAAAAAUUUUAUCAGACUCGUACAUGUUAUUGUAUGUAUCAAAAUUUAUUUCAUGAAUAUACUGCAUCCAGUCAUUUGUUGGCAUUUGGGUUUUCUCUAGUUUUGGGUUAUUAAAUGUAAAGAUUCUAUAAACAUUCAUAGACAAGUCUUUGUACAGACAUCUGAUUUUAUUUCUCUAAGCUAAAUACCAAAGAUUGGAAUGGAUAGGUCAUAUGCUAUGUAUAUUUGCCUUCUUAUAAAAUUGAAAAAUUGUUUUUACGUUCCCUCAAGUAGUGUAUGAGUGCUUCACUUGCUUCAAAUCUUUGCCAGCACUUGGUGUGUUCAGUCUUCCCUCCCCCUCCCCCAACAAGUGGAAAUUUUUACCUACAGUGUGCUUUAAUUUUUUCCAGCUUUUUUGAGUUUUAAUUGACAAAUAAAUGCCUUGUCAGACAAUAUUUAAUGUGAUGAUUUGGUAUGUGUAUACAAUGUGAAAGGAUUCCCCCAUCCAGUUAAUUAACACAUCCAUCAUCUCACAUAUUUACAUUUUUAAAACUUUUUUGUGAGAAUAUUUAAGUUCUACAUUCAGCAAAUUUUAAUUAAACAAUAUUGUGUGUAUACCCAAUUAUACUAUACAGUGUUAUCAACUAUAGUCAACAUUAGAUCCUCAGACCUUAUUCAUCAUAUAACUAGAAUAUAACUAUCGUUUUACAAAACUUUCUCUUUUAGCCUCACCAGACCCUGGCAACCACAUUCCUACUCUCUGUUUCUGACUUUAAAAAAACCUUUUUUUUUUUCUUUUUUUUAAAGAUUCCAUACGUAAGUUAUACCAUGCAGUCAUUGUCUUUCUCUGUCUGGCUUUAUUUCAUUUAACAUACACCCUUCAGGUUCAUCCAGGUUGCUGCAAGUAAAAGGAUUUUCUUCUUAUUUUAAUUGUAGGUUAUACAUUUAGAUUUAUUAAAUACUUUGAAUUAGUUUUGCAUGUGAUGUUAGGUAUGGAUUGAAGUUAAUAUUUUUUAUGUAUAGAUAUUCAAUUAUUUCAUCACAUUGUUGAAAAUCUUAUUUCUCCAAUAAUUAUUUUUGCACCUUUGUCAAAAUUAAGUCUCUAUAAAUGUGUGGAUCUAUUUCUGGACUCCAUUCUUUUCCUUUGCUCUAUUGGUCUAUCUUGAUACUGAUGCCAUCCUGUCUUUGCACUGUCACUUUAAAAUAAAUCUGAAGUCAGAUAGUUUAAGGACUCCAACUCUGUUCUUCUUUUUCAAAGUUGCCUUGGCUGUUCCAGAUCCUUUGCCUUUGCAUAUGAAUUUUAGAAUCAGCUUUUAAGUGUCUACCAAAAAAGCAUUCUAGGGUUUUGAUUGGGAUUGUACUGAAUCUAGAGAUCAUGACAUCAUUACAAUAUUGAAUCUUUUGAUCUAUAAACAUAGCAUAUCUCUGAAUUUAUUUAGGUUCUCUUUAAUUUCUCUCCACAAUGUUUUGUGGUUUUAUUGCACAUAUUUUAUCAGAUUUACCUUUUAAUAAAUCGCAUUUUUGAUGGUAUUGUAAGUGGAAUAUUUUUAAAUUUCUAAUUGCUACUGGUAUAUAGAAAGACAGUUGAUUUUUGUGUAUUGAUCUUGUAUAAAAAACUUUAUAAACACACAGAGUGGUCCUAAAAGCUUUUUGUGCAGAUCAUAGGAUUUUCUAUAUAGACAAUGAAGUCAUCUGUAAACAGAGACAACUUUAUUUCUUCCCUUUCUAACUUGAAUGCCUCAUUUCUUUUUCUUGUCUUAUUGCACUGGCUAGGACUUCUAGCAAAACGCUGAACAGAAGUGGUGAGAAUGGACAUACUUGCCUUGCACCUGAUCUUAUGUGAACACAUUCAGCUUUUCACUAUUAAUUAUGAUGUUAACUACAGGUUUUUCAUAGGUCCCCUUUAUCAGGUUGAAGAAGUUCUCUCCUAUUCCUAGUUUGCCAAAGUUUUUCAAAAAAUUGAAGUAUAGUUGAUUUACAAUGUUGUGUUAGUUUCAGGUGUAUAGCAAAGUUAUAUAUAUAUAUUCCUUUCCAUUAUAGGUUAUUACAAGUUAUUGAAUAGAGUUCCCUGUGCUAUACAGUAGGUUCUUAUUGUUUAUCUAUUUUAUAUAGUACUGUGUAUCUGUUAAUCUCAAAUUCCUAAUUUAUUCUUCCCCUUUCCCAUUUGGUAACCAUAGUUUGUUUUCUAUGUAUGUGAGUCUGUUUUGUAGAUAAGUUCAUUUGUAUCAUUUUUUUAGAUUCCAUGUAUAAGUGAUAUCAUAUUAUAUUUGUCUUUCUCUGCCUGACUUACUUCACUUAGUUUGACAAUUUCUAGGUCCAUCCAUGUUACUACAAAUGGCAUUAUUUUCUUUUCUAUGGCUGGGAGUAUGUAUGUAUAUAUAUAUAUAUGUGUGUAUAUAUAUGUGUGUGUAUGUAUAUAUAUAUAUAUAUAUAUAUAUAUAUUCCACAUCUAUAUCCAUUCAUCUGUCCAUGGACACUUAGGUUGCUUCUAUGUCUUGGCUAUUGCAAAUAGUGCUACUCCAAAGGAUUUUAUUAGAAACAGGUAUGGGUUGUUUUCAAAUGAUAUUUGUGUGUUUAUUCGGAUUUUUUUUCUUUUUAAUCUAUUCAUAAGUUUAAUUACAUUGAUUGAUUUUUGAAGAUUAAACCAACUUGGCAUUCUUAAGAAAAGCACCACUUGUGUAUGUAUUAGCCUUUUUACAUAUUGCUGGAUUUGAUUUGCUAAAAUUGUGUUAAGAUUUUUUCCACUUAUAUUCAUGAGGGAUAUUGACCUGCAGUUUUCUUUUCUUUUAAUGUCUUUGGUUUUAGAAUCUGGGUAAGGUUGGCCUCAUAAUAUAAACUGAAAAGUAGCCCUAUCUCUCAAUUUUCUUUUCAUUUAUGUAGAAUUGGCAUUAUUUCUUCCUAAAUGUUUGGUAGAAUUUGCCAGUGAAGCCACUGUUGCUUCACAACCUCCUUGGGAGUUUCCCAGGUGUAAUAUGAAACUGGCCCCCAUAUGCAGAAGGCAGGGAGAGAACAAAGAAAGAGACAGAUCACUCCAGAUUUGUAAAUGACAGGUUUAAUAGGCAAGGGAACUUAUUUAUGAGGCUUGUCUGGGGUGGCCUCAAGAUUUGUAGAUCUCUGCAUCUGCCUGCUAAAUCUUAAACAUUUAUAUAGAGUCCUUAACUGGUUCAGUCACAUAUACCAUCCGGAUAGUCUCAACACCACAUUUCUAUUUCAAGGCUGUAUCCUUGGGGCAACUUCUGGGAGUGGGGAUGGCAAGCAGAACACAUUCCAAAGACAGAGGAGUGGGUGGGGAACCUCCAAUUGCCUGGGUCCAUUUUGAGGGUCAGCUUCUGCUUACAUCUUCUCAAUGACCUCCCCCAACAGCCGUCUUCACCUAGAGGUUAUUUUUGUGUGGGAAGAUUUUAAACUAUAAAUUCAGUUUUUAAAAUAGGUAUGGGGCUAUUCUGGCUAUUUCUUAUUGAGUGAAGUUAGGUAAGCUUGUCUUUUGAGGAAUUUGUGCAUUUCACCUUAGUUGUCAAAUCUAUUAGAAUAAUGUGUUUAUAAUUACCCUUUAUUAUCUUUUUAAUAUCUGUAGAAUCUAUUGUUAUGUUAAUUAUAUUAUUCCUGAUAUGGCCAUUUGUAGCAUUUUUUUGAUCAGCCUGAAUAGAUGUUUACGAAUAUGGAAUUUCUCAGAGAACAAAGUUUUAGUUUCAUUAACUUUUUGUAGUUUUAUUUUGCUCAUUUUUAUUUUGUUGAUUUCCACACUGAUAGUUUUUUUUUUUUUGCGGUACACGGGCCCCUCAUUGCUGUGGCCCCUCCCGCCACGGAGCACAGGCUCUGGACACGCAGUCCCAGCGGGCCCAGCCGCUCCACAGCACGUGGGAUCCUCCCGGACCGGGGCAUGAGCCCACGUCCCCUGCACUGGCAGGCAGACCACCAACGACUGCGCCACCAGGGAAGCUCCACACUGAUAGUUUUUAUUUCCUUUAUUUGGCAUAUUUUGGCUUUAUUUGCUCUUCUUUUUCUGGUUUUUAAGGUGGAAGCUGAAGUCAUUGACUUGAGAGCUUUUCUAAUAUAAUUAUUUAGUGCUAUAAAUUUCCCUCUACGUUCUCAAUGAGGGAGAUCCCACUAAUCUUAAAAUAUGUUCUUUUUUAUUCAUCUCAAAAUACAUUUUAAUUGUUUGACUCUAUUUUAACCCAUGAGUUAUUUAUAAGUGUUUUAUUCUGUUUUCAAGUAUGUAAAGAAAUUCUAGAGAUCCUUCUGUUAUUGACUUCUAAUUUAAUUCCACUGUUGUUAGAGAACAUACAUUGCGAGAACUGAAAAAUUUUAAGUUUAUUGAGACUUAUUUUAUGGCCUAGAAUAGUUAAAUGUUUCAUGUGCAUUGCAAAGAACAUGUAUUCUGAUGUUUUUAGAUGUAUUCUAUACAUAUCAAUUAAAGCAAGUUCAUUAGUAGUGUUAAUCAAGCUUUCUAUGUUAGUAUUGGAUUUCUAUCUACAUGUUUCAUCUCACUGAGAAAUGAGUAUUGAAAUCUGACUAUAAUUGUGAACUUUAAUAUUUCUCCCUGAAGUUCUAUGUUCUAUCAGUUUUAUCUUGAGGUACUUUGAAACCAUGUUAUUAAGCACAUAGACAUUUAGCAGUGUGUGUCUGCUUGAUUGGCCCUUUUAUCAUUAUAAUUAACCCUCUGUGUCCUUUAUAAUAUUCUUUGCUCUGAAAUCUUUGUUAUUUAUAUACUUCAGCUUUCUUUAGAUUAGUGUGUGUAUAUGUGUGUGUGUGUGUAUAUAUAUAUAUUUUUUUCCAAUUCUUUUACUUUUAACCUAAUCUUAUAUUUACAUUUAAUGUAGGUUUGUUGUAGGUAGAAUAUAUAUAGACCUUGCUUUUUAAUCCAAUCUGAGAAUUUCUGGGUUUUGACCAGGGUGUUUAGAGCAUUUACAUUUAAUAUUAUUAUUAAUAUAGUUGGGUUUAAAUCUAUCACCUUACUAUUUGCUUUAAAUUGUUUCAUCUUUUUCUGCCUUCUGUUAGAUUAAUUGUUUUUUAAUGAUUCCAUUCAAUCUCCUUUGUUGGCUUAUGAACUAUAAGUCUGACUAAUUACUUAUAGUGAUUGUUUCAGGGUUUAUAGUUCACAUCUUUAACUUAUCACAGUUUACUUUCAAGAGACAUUAUACCACUUAAUAUAUAGUAUAAAAUUUUUUUAAAUUUGUAUACUUCCAUUUUUCCCCUCGUGGCUUUUGUGCUCUUCUCACACAUUUUACAUGUUAUUUUUACCAUACCACAUUAGACAGUCAAUUAUUUUUAAAGAGAUUUAAAUAAUCAUUUAAAAAUAUUUUAUAUUUACCCUGCUUCAUGACUUCAGCCUUAGCCAAGCUCCAAUAACACAUUUUCUCUCCUGCCCCUUCAGAUAUAGAGGUGGAAUGUUCUUCCUACUAUUACUAGUCUCUGGCUGCCAUCUCUUCCUAGAUCCUUUACCUGUCCCACAGCUCUAUAAGCAGCUUCUUUAUAUGUUCUUCAGAAAACCACUUGCACGUGCCAUCUGUUUCUGGAAUGAUACUAUACUGAUAUAAAAGUUAAAUGUUAUUUUUCUCUUUUUUCUAUGAACACUUGGAAAAGCAGCUUUUGUGGGCUGUCCCAGAGGUGUCCAUUAUAUAUACCAGUUCCUGAGAAAACACUGGUCUAUCAUUCAGGCAUUGUCCACUUUACUACUUUCAAGAUGUUUCAGGUUUAAUUAUGGAAAGUAAGUGUUUAUACACAUAGAGACAAAACUGUUUUGUUUAAAUCAGUUAUUCUACAAGCUUUAUUGAAUUCCUGUCAUGUGCAAAGUGCUAAGCCUUAUGUUGUGAAUAUAAAUGUAAACAUUUACAUAUGCAGCAUCAAGGAUGACAUAGUCUAUGCUGGGACCAAAUAUUUAUCUUUGAAUAUAAAGUUAUAGACCUAUAGAGGUCUAUAAUAGUGACAUAAAUGAAAUGUAGUAGUAUGUCCAGGGUGCACCAGAGUGACUGAUUCAACGUCUAUAUUCUUACGGCUUGUUUUUUGUUGGCACACGGAAGUGUGGCUGUACAAGGUGUAAAGUUGUAACAAUAUUGCAACACUUUUGUUUGGUUGAUAAAGAGCUUCUGUCCUGAGCUUCCAUCAUUUUGUUUUCUCACCUAGGACUGUCUAUAAUCUCCCCUCUCUCUAGGCAGCUAAAUUUCUUUAGGGCCUCACCCCAGCAGUACAUUACUGUCUUUUUCUUAUUGGUUGUUGCUUGUGCCAUACUGGAGGUCAAAUAUUUUAAAUAUCAUCUCUACUUAUAUCUAUACCUACCAUGACAUUCAGUUUUAAAAAUGGUUUAGAACUAACUACUAGUUUAUCAGAAAGAUUUAGAAUAAUAAAAUUCAUAUCUAAUGCUGUUAGGAACAUGCAUAUUUAGUCACUUUAUAACCCCAAACUCUGGAGGCUCAUGACCUCCAGAGUUUGGGGUCAUAAAGAGGAGAAGGGCAGUAUCCAUCUCCUCUCUUUAUACAAGAUAAUGAUGGAGGUUUUGAUUGUGCAUGUCAUGGAUCUAAGUGGCCCCUACAGUUUUUAUGCACAGGGGUGACGUAUUGAGAAGGACUGGGCAGCCUGAAACUUAGAAAGUCUCUGUGAUAGAACAAUUCCAAGGGUAAGCAACUGUCUCAGAGCCUUUCUAUGUGGUUAGAUGUUUAAUAAAUGUGAUUUCUUUAGUGUACAAAAUUGGAAGUUUAUAUACAUGGAAUAUAAACUCAAAAUAUAAGUUCAUGCCUGAUAGUAAAACCUAUAACCAACUAAAAGAAAAAGUGUUCUAGGGCUUCCCUGGUGGCGUAGUGGUUGAGAGUCUGCCUGCCGAUGCAGGGGACACGGGUUCGUGCCCCUGUCCGGGAAGAUCCCACAUGCCACGGAGAGGCUGGGCCCGUGAGCCAUGGCCGCUGAGCCUGCGUGUCCGGAGCCUGUGCUCCGCAACGGGAGAGGCCACAACAGUGAAAGGCCCGCGUACUGCAAAAAAAAAAAAAAAAGUAAAGAAAAACUUUUCUGUUGUAACAAUUCCAAUAUGACUGGUUGAAAGUGCAAUAUUAAUUUUAUUUAUCGACAUGGACCAAUUUUAUAUUUAUAGUACUCUGCAAAAAAUGUUAAGUAGUAGUAAUCAGUAUUUUUAAAAGAUAGUUAAGAUUAGAGAUAAAAUGUUUGAACAAACUUAUGCCAGCACCCCACAAAAAUAAUCAUCAUCUAGAAAAGAGCUUAUGCCUUGGCUUGUCAACACAACAUAACUGUUGAAUAAGAUGUGUCAUCCUGUUUUAUCUUAUUAUUUGGUGAAGAUGUGAGAAAAAUAAUUAAUAUCUAAAGCUAAUAACAUCUAUCUCCAAAAUAGUUGCAAAACAAUAGAAAUUGAAAAAGAAAAAUGCAAAUAAUUUUACUUUAGAAUGAAAAUUAAGAAGAUUAAAAACAAUAAAUACUUUGGGGUGUUGUGCAUCUUUAGAUUUGAGAAUAGCCAUUUGAUCAAUCUCACAUGCAUUGAGGAGAAUAAAAACAAGCAUAUGGUGAGAAUAUCCUUUCUCAUACUAACUGUAAACUGUCCUGGGCAAUGGAAGGAUGGAAAACUGUUCCCGUGGGGUAGAGAAUUUAUAUGAGCCUUGUUUUCAAGGAGGUUUACUGUUGUACCUCACCUGUAAAGGCAACAUUUUUAUUAUAUUCCCUAGUCAAUUAUGUUUGUGAUAAUAUUUUCAAUCCAGACCAAUUUAUAUUUAUUGAUUAAUAAAAGAAUUCUUCAAGGGAUUCUGUGGCUUGAAACACUGAUGCAAUUUUCUCUGAUUUUAUUAGAGAAUGUAAUCAAUAUAUCUUGAAACACUAUCCAAAAGUUGUGUCAGUUAAGCACCUUGUGACCUUUACUGGAGUUAAAGCAUAAAUAAAAGUUAACAUUUAUGUCACAGAAUUGUCUGAUAUAUGUAAAAUUACAGUGAGGUACUGACAUAAAUAGGCCAAUGACAUAUUAGAUAGAAAGCCCAGAUAUAACCCCUUGACUAUAGUCAAACAAUCUUCAAUAAGGGUGCCAAGACUACUCAAUGGGGAAAGGACAGUCUCUUCAACAAAUGGCACUGGAAAACUAGAUAUCCACAUGCAAAAAAAAUGAAACUGGACCCUAACCUUACACCAUACAAAAAAUUAACUCAAAGUGGAUUAAAAAUCUAAGCAUAAGACCUAAUAAUUCUUUUUCUAAAAGAAAAAAAUGCUUCAUGACAUUAUAUUUGACAAUGAUUUUUAAGAUAUGACACUAAAAGCAUGGGCAACAAAAGCAAAAAUAAGCAAAAGGGAUUACACCAAACUUAAAAACUUCUGCACAUCAAAGGAAACAAUCAGUGUGAAAAAAGUAGCCUACAGAAUGGGAGAAAAUAUUUUCAAAUCAUAUGUCUGUUAAGGGCUUAAUAUUUGAAUAUAUAAAGAACUCUUACAACUCAACAACAACAAAUAACCCAAUUAAAAAAUAGGCAAAGAACUUGAGUAGACAUUUCUCCAAAGAACAUAUAGAAAUGGCCAACAAACAUAAAAGAUGUUCAACAUCUGUAAUCAUUAGAGAACUAAAAACCAAAACCAAAAUGAGAUAUCACCUCACACCCAUGAAGAUAACCAACUUAAAAAAAUUAACAAGUGUUGGUGAGGAUAUGACAAAAUUGGAACCUUUGUGCUCUGUUGGCAGGAAUGUAAAAUGGUGCAGCUACUGUGGAAAACAGUAUAGCAAUUCCUCAAAAAAUUAAAAAUCAAAUUACCACAUGAUCAGAAAUAAUGAUUCUGGGUAUAUAUCCAAAAUAAUUGAAAGCAGGAUCUUCCAUGUCUAUGUUUACUGCAGCAUUAUUCACAAUAGCCAAGAGAUAGAAAUAACCCAGAUGUCCAUCAAUGGAUAAAUGGAUAAGAAAAUGUGGUAUAUACAUACAAUGGAAUGGUAUUCAGCCUUAAAGAAGAAAGAUUUUGUUACAUCUACUACAUGGAUGAACUUUUUAAAGACGUUAUGUUUAAUUUAAUAAACCAGUUAUAAAACGACAAACACUAUAAUUUCACUUAUAUGAGAUAUCUAAAGUAGUAAAACUCAUAGAAACAGAAAGUAUAAUGGUGGUUGCUAGGGGCUGGGUGGGGGGAGAGGAGAAAGGAGAACUAUUGUUCAAUCAAUGUGGAUUUUCAGUUUUGCAAAAUGAAAACAUUCAAGAGAUCUGUUGUACAACAAUGUGAAUACACUUUCUACUACUGAACUAUACACUUAAAAAUGGUUAUGAUAGUAAAUGUUAUAUGUUUUUUAACAAUAAAAAACAAAAAUAAAAUUCACUGUAAAUUA